UACAAUGGCGUAACAAAGGGAAGCGAACCUGUGAGGGGGAGCAAAUCCCAAAAAUAACGUCCCAGUUCGGACUGUAGUCUGCAACCCGGCUACACGAAGCUGGAAUCGCUAGUAAUCGCGAAUCAGAAUGUCGCGGUGAAUACGUUCCCGGGUCUUGUACACACCGCCCGUCACACCAUGGGAGUCGGGAAUGCCCGAAGUCAGUGACCCAACCUUUGGAGGGAGCUGCCGAAGGCAGGUCUGAUAACUGGGGUGAAGUCGUAACAAGGUACC
rnacentral:rRNA from 1 species